GAGUUUGAUCUUGGCUCAGGAUGAACGCUAGCGGCAGGCUUAAUACAUGCAAGUCGUGGGGCAGCAGGUCUGUAGCAAUACAGAUGCUGGCGACCGGCAAACGGGUGCGGAACACGUACACAACCUUCCUUUAAGUGGGGAAUAGCCCGGGGAAACCCGGAUUAAUACCCCGUAACAUUUUGAAGUGGCAUCACUUUAUAAUUAUAGCUUUCGGGCGCUUGAAGACGGGUGUGCGGCUGAUUAGGUAGUUAGCGGGGUAACGGCCCACCAAGCCUACGAUCAGUAACUGGUGUGAGAGCACGACCAGUCACACGGGCACUGAGACACGGGCCCGACUCCUACGGGAGGCAGCAGUAAGGAAUAUUGGUCAAUGGACGCAAGUCUGAACCAGCCAUGCCGCGUGGAGGAUGAAGGUCCUCUGGAUUGUAAACUUCUUUUAUAUGGGACGAAAAAGGGUUUUCUAACUCGUCUGACGGUACCAUAUGAAUAAGCACCGGCUAACUCCGUGCCAGCCGCCGCCGU
rnacentral:rRNA from 1 species